GAUGAACGCUGGCGGCGUGCCUAAUACAUGCAAGUCGAGCGAACGGACGAGAAGCUUGCUUCUCUGAUGUUAGCGGCGGACGGGUGAGUAACACGUGGAUAACCUACCUAUAAGACUGGGAUAACUUCGGGAAAACGGAGCUAAUACCGGAUGAUAUUUUGAACCGCAUGGUUCAAAAGUGAAAGACGGUCUUGCUGUCACUUAUAGAUGGAUCCGCGCUGCAUUAGCUAGUUGGUAAGGUAACGGCUUACCAAGGCAACGAUGCAUAGCCGACCUGAGAGGGUGAUCGGCCACACUGGAACUGAGACACGGUCCAGACUCCUACGGGAGGCAGCAGUAGGGAAUAUUGCGCAAUGGGCGAAAGCCUGACGGAGCAACGCCGCGUGAGUGAUGAAGGUCUUCGGAUCGUAAAACUCUGUUAUUAGGGAAGAACAUAUGUGUAAGUAACUGUGCACAUCUUGACGGUACCUAAUCAGAAAGCCACGGCUAACUACGUG
rnacentral:rRNA from 1 species